UAGCUGUUAUGACACGGUUAUGACCGUGUCAUAGGGUGUUAUGACACUGGGUGUCAAGUAAAGUGUUACCAAUGUCGCUCCUUUCUUCUCUCUUUUUCUCCUUUUUUUAGUCCCCCUCUCUAUGACGUAUCGUUUCACAGCUGGAGUUUUUCAUGUCAUCUUGGGUCAUCUUGUCUCCAGCUCAGCCUAAGAGGAUUUGGGCUACUUCUCACUCCCCAGUGAGCCAGUCUCCCAGCCUACCCAGCCAUCUGCCCAGGUCAGCGAUGCCCUACUGUCCCUUCCAGAGAAGUAUGACGGUACUUCAUCGAAAUGAUGUGGCUUCCUACUCCAGUGCUCCCUCUAUUUCGCCCAUCAGACGGGAGCCCCCACCACCGAGAGGUCCAAGGUUGCCACUGUCAUUUCCCUGCUAACCGGGCGGGCGUUGGAGUGGGCUACGGCUGUCUGGGAGAGAAGAGAGGAGGAGGUGGCUCUGGUUCAUGGCUCUGUUCAGAGCGGUCUUCAACCAUCCUCCAGAGGCCAGAGAGGGAGGUGAGCGACUUCUCCAACUCCAGCAGGGUGCCCAGACUGCUGCAAAGUACGCCCUCACCUUUUGUACUGUGGCAGCCUCCAGCGGAUGGAAUGAGCCUGCGAUCCGCACUCUCUUCCAGAGAGAAAUGGCAUGUCGGGACAGAGGUGGCGUGUCGGGAUGACAACCUAUCCACUCACCACGAUGGCCAUUCGUCUGGAUAUCCUUCUUCGGGAGCCACGGUGCCCACCUCGCCACUCGUCUCCCUUCUUUGGCUGUCCUGAGGCAGAGCCUGAACCCGUGGAUAUAGGAGCCACAUACCUCUCCCAGGCAGAGCGGCGUCGCCGGAGACUGCUGGGGCUCUAUCCCUAUUGCGGCCACGAGGGGCACCAGCUUAAGUGGUGUCCGGUGCGUCCCUGGAAUUUCAUCAACCAGGCCCUCACCUCCUCCCUGAACAUAACUUUGUACCUCUCCUUUCCUUUUCCGGUGCAAGCCCUGGAUAAGCGACCAUUGGGAUCCGGCACAAUCACGCACAUCACAGCACCACUCACCCUCACUGUGGUACCCAUGCACCAGGAAAACCUUCCCUUCCUCAUCAUCACUGCACUCGUAUACAAAGUCAUCCUCGGCUUCCCUUGGCUCCAACGUCAUAACCCUACCAUCUCCUGGUCGAGGAUUAAAAUCACCUCAUGAGGUCCAUGAUGCCGGAAGACCAGCACAACGAAGAAACGACAGGCAGAAGGACCAGGCCGCAGCAUUGUCACAGAGGUGAUGGAAGAUUUCAUCAAGCAGCUGAGGGACAACUUCUCCACCAGAUUUGAAGACUACAGCAUGCCCAAGGAUAUCAUUGUCUUUGUACGUGAUCCUCUCACAGUCUGCCCAGGUGGAGAACUCGAUACCCUCCCUGGAUAAGGCCGCAAUUCAAACUGAGCUGAUUAAAUUCCAGACAUUGAGCCAAAUCAGGGAUGCGCACAGGAUUGCUGAGUCCUCGUGUGCGUUUUGGGUGGCAUGCUCAGCGGAAUACAGCACAAAUAGGGAAACUUGCAUUUUAUGUGCUAACAAUGUUUGGAUCGACUUAUGAUACUUACGAUACUGCGAGUCCUCCUUUUCCUCUAUGAAUGCAAUCAAGACUCAUGACAGGAACUGUCUUUCACAUAACUCAAUUGAGGACUGCCUGCACAUCAAAAUCACAUCCUUCUCACCCGACAUCCACAAGAUCGUGAACGAAGGGAAACGCAACUUUUCCCAUUAAGAGCAGGCUAUUCCCGAGACUACUGAUACAGACAUUCAGACACACAUCACCUUUUUUUCUUUAAAUCAUUGUUCAUGUCGGUUGUUACAUUUUUGACCAGUUGCAAUUGUGAGUAGGCCUAAUUAAAAAAAAUCCCACUUCUAUUAGACCAUAUUUUUUUAUUGUGAAAGAUACUGCUAAGACACAUAGCCUAUCUCAGUGUAACGCUCAAAGAGUGAAUGGGUGUGGAGUCAGGCGCAGGGAGCAGAGGAUACGGGAAAAAACACGCUUUAAUGUCCAACCAAAAACGUACAAGAGGUGACGCCGAACACAGGCGUAAUACACUCCAACUAAGUACACACUGGUAUCUAACCGGACAGCGGAAAACCCACAAUAAUAAAGAACACCUCUUACAUAACAGAAACAAGCCCGCACAAACACAAGCGGGCUAAUCGAACUUAAAUAACACCAACCCAACAACCCCAACAAGGAACAGGUGAAAACAAUUAGACAAAACCAAACGAAAAGGGAAAAAGGGAUCGGUGGCAGCUAGUAGACCGGUGACGACGAGCGCCACCCGAACGGGAAGGGGAGCCACCUUCGGUGAUAUUCGUGACACUCAGCCAGUUAAGUUAUAUAGGCUCGUAAAAAAUAUACUCCAAUUAAGCCCUCUUUUUGUUUGUAAAGUCAAAUUAAAAUGAAGAUUAUUGUUAAAAUGAGU